GGGGGAGGGGGGAGGGGGAAGGGGGGGGGGCGAAUUUUUCUUUCUUAAUCAUGAUCUUCUUCUUCAUUUACUAAAAAAAAUACCCCAAGAACAAUCACCAUUGACAAAAUCCUUUUCAAGAAACUUCCAUCGUCACUCUCACACGCAUCUCUCUCAUGACACACACAUACACUCGUCAGAAAAAGAAUGAGGAAAAGUAAAUGAAUCCGGUCGACCUCAAGCUUUCCGGCUACUAAUUUGUCAGAAUCGGCUACUGUUUCACCGAAUUCAAACACAACUGACCCAUAGCUCGCUCAACUUGAUUCCGGGGAUGGGCCCAUCGAUUUUCGAACUCACCGACCUUCUUCAUAUUAAAAUCGAUCUAUUUUUGAGCGGUUUAAGUACAGAUUGGAGUUCGAAGGUUAUCGGGUUGGAUUUGGAUCAUAGUCAAGAUUUUAUGAUAUUCUUUGAGGUUCCGGGACGACUUUAUUCUCUUCUUAAUCAAUCAAGAACAUUCGGGAGGUCCAUCUCUAUAACUCUUGUUCCUUAUUUCAUCUUUAUUUGGUAUAAUGAUGUUGUGAUUAUGUGUGUGAUAAGUAUGAUUGUUGGAUUUGGUUGAUGUCAUGAUUAUGUGCUUAACGGUGAUAUGUGAAACGAAUUAGAGUAAUUUUGGUGUAAUUGAUAAAAACGAAGCUAGCGGGGGGUGGAAUUGAGAAAUUGAUAAAAGAUGAAUGUAGAUUAAUUUUUAUUUGUUGUCUUUUUGUUUAAUUCGAAAUAAGCAUGGAUGUGAUAGAUUUAUGAUAUGUUGAAAUGGAUAGGCAAUAUAGGUUCGGGUAGGCAAAAUUUAGGAGUGAUGUGUUGAUUGAAUGCUUUGAAUAUUUGAAUGUGUGUUUUGAACAUGUUUUUUAGCUAGCUUAUUUAAUUCGGGUGUAUUUAUUCGGUCGGGGAAUGUCCCGAGACACAUUGUAUUUAUUCAUCGGGGAAUGCCCCGACAUAUUAUGUUGGUGAAAAAUGAUCGUAAUGAAGGCCCGCAGCGUCGGGUAAGGAAUUGGAGCUUUAGUCUAGGAUAGUAUAGAAUAGGAUUUAUAUUUUUCGCAUUUUUCUACUUUGGACUGUAUAACUGGAUUGGACAUUAUUAUUUUAAUUUUGGAUUGUUAUUUGAUGUGUUUGUUGCUUGUUUUACGUGUUUGAUGUGGUUUAUACAUUCAUAGUGUCAAGUUAGCCGAAAUGCUCCACCAACCGACCAUGGUCGAACCACGGGAUCGAGGGGUGCGUAACACCUUUUCCUCGAUCAACAGAAUUUCUUUGCCAGAAUAUCUGUUCGUGGAUCAGUUUUAAAGAGUCAAACUUGUAUCUUUUUGGUCAAAAAAGGGGGUGUGACAGCUCUGAAGACUCUGCUAGAAAAUUUUUAGAAUUCGAGCUUAUUUGGGGAGUUGUAUCGACUUAGUUUGACAUCAUAGGUGUAUAAACGUUGUUUGUGUUAUUGUUUUUGUCACACCCCUUUUUUUAACUCCAAAAAGAUUCAUUUUUAAGUUUGAAAGGGUUUUUAUUAUCAAAGUGAUAAAAGAUGAAAAUUUGUUUCGAAAAAGGAUUAUUUACAUUUUUUAUUCAGAAUCGCCACUUGGCAUAAUCCGGUGAGUCAAGUCACCUUUGGAGAAUCCUUUUCGAAAUGAUUUGACUCUUUAAAACUGAUCUGCGAACAAAGAUUCUGACUAAGUAAUUCUGUUGACCGAGGGGAAGGUGUUAGGCAUCCCUCAAUCCCGCGGUUCGACCACGGUCGCUUGGUGGAGCACAUCGGCUAAUUUGACACUAUAAAAUGUAUAAACCAUAUAAACACACAAGAAUAAGCAAAUAAUCAAAUAAAAUUCAAAACCAAAAUAAUGUUUAGUCCGAAUUACACAAUCCAAAAAUAGAAAAAUACGAAAAAUAUAAAUCCUAUUCUAAACUAAUCCUAGACUAAGCUCCACUGCUUUAUCUGACGCCUCGGGCCUUCAUCACGAACCUAUUUUACAUACAUGAUAUAUCGGGACAUUCCCCGGAUAAAUCAAUACAAAUUCCUCGAGGCAUUCCCCGGUCAAAUGAGGACAUUUUAAUGCGAUAAAAAUGGAAAAAAUCACUCAACACAAACAUUUACACAUUCGAUGAUUAGAAUCCUACGAGUUGCCUACCCCAAAACCUAGAACUUGCCUAUUAAUUUAACGGCCUAAUCAUGCUACUAUCGUGUUCAAACAAUAUUCAUACUUAAAUCAAAUUAAACUAAAAUCUUAAUGAAUCCAAAUUCAUCCUUUUUACCAAUUUCUCAAUUCCGCCCCAAACAAACAAUUUUAAUUCUCAAACGAGAUACCAUUUCACCAAACCAUAGUUAAGCAAACCAAUCACUGUUCAAAAUCAACACGCAUUCAUCACCAAUAAGGACCAAACAACACGCAAUAUUCAAUCCAACACACCAAACAUAAUAAACAAUGAAAUAAAAAGAGGGAAAGAGUAGAAUUGAACCUCAAUGCCGCUUUCAAGAUCGAUGUAUUAUUUCAAUUAAAUCUGGUAGGAUCCGUGUCCUAAAUCCUCGAGUUGAACCUCAACAACGAACCAACCAAGCUUCGGUUUUACCCUUUUGUUUGUUUUCUUUCCAAAACCCAAAUCACAAACAGAUUUUGACUUUGAAGACGAAAACGAUGGCAAAACCCAAGUGCGAAAACAAGCCUAGACCCAAAUAAUUUAGCAAAGGACAGGAACCCGAUACUGAAUGGAUGACCAAGAUUGUCGUCGAUGGUGGUUUUUCUGUUCGCAACUAGUCGGAACAGUGACUUUUCAGUGAUGGCGUUGAGUUUUGGUAUGAGAUCAAGGGAAGUGCAACAGGUUGAGCUCACGACUUUAGGUUUGCCGAACUACGGUAAGAUCGACAGAGAUGAAAUAGAGGAGGAAAUGAUCGAUAAUGACGUUUCUCGGUGACCCCUGACAUUUUUCCGAUCAGAUUUCGGUGGAAUUGCGCCGAUUUCGUUGUUUCUUCACCAAAUUUCUCAAAAACCCUUCAUCCUUUUGUUACUCUCUCUCUUCUCCUCACUCUCUUUGCUCAAUCUUUACCCCAUUUUUGAUUCUCCGAUCAAGAUGUGCGUGUGAGUAUAUUGAUUUGUUCUAGGCGUAAUGUUGUUGUGGGUGUACACUGGUAAGUAUAUCAGUGUUUUUAUGUCCCUCUCUACUCUAUGUGUGUGCUUUACUGUGUGUAGAAGAGAAAGAAAAAAAACCCCUCUCCGUCCAGUGAGGUGCUUUAUAUAUGAGAAUGGUGAGUGUGUGUAAUCUUUCUCUCCAUUUGUGUGUAAUCUCUAGAAAAGAAUGGAGAAGAAUCGUGUAUCUCCAUAUGGAAAAUGGAAGUCCUCCCUAAUCUUCCCUGUG